rnacentral:rRNA from 1 species
UACGAAGGGGGCUAGCGUUGCUCGGAAUCACUGGGCGUAAAGCGCACGUAGGCGGAUCUUUAAGUCAGGGGUGAAAUCCUGGAGCUCAACUCCAGAACUGCCUUUGAUACUGAGGAUCUUGAGUCCGGGAGAGGUGAGUGGAACUCCGAGUGUAGAGGUGAAAUUCGUAGAUAUUCGGAAGAACACCCGUGGCGAAGGCGGCUCUCUGGGACGGUACUGACGCUGAGACGCGAAAGCGUGGGGAGCGAACAGG